UACGUAGGUGGCAAGCGUUGUCCGGAUUUAUUGGGCGUAAAGCGAGCGCAGGCGGUCUUUUAAGUCUGAUGUGAAAGCCCCCGGCUUAACCGGGGAGGGUCAUUGGAAACUGGGAGACUUGAGUGCAGAAGAGGAGAGUGGAAUUCCAUGUGUAGCGGUGAAAUGCGUAGAUAUAUGGAGGAACACCAGUGGCGAAGGCGGCUCUCUGGUCUGACACUGACGCUGAGGCUCGAAAGCGUGGGGAGCAAACAGG
rnacentral:rRNA from 1 species